UACGUAGGGUGCAAGCGUUUGUCCGGAAUUAUUGGGCGUAAAGAGCUCGUAGGCGGUCUGUCGCGUCGAAUGUGAAAACCCGGGGCUCAACCCCGGGCCUGCAUUCGAUACGGGCAGACUAGAGUUCGGUAGGGGAGUCUGGAAUUCCUGGUGUAGCGGUGAAAUGCGCAGAUAUCAGGAGGAACACCGGUGGCGAAGGCGGGACUCUGGGCCGAUACUGACGCUGAGGAGCGAAAGCGUGGGGGAGCGAACAGG
rnacentral:rRNA from 1 species